UACGUAGGGUGCAAGCGUUGUCCGGAAUUAUUGGGCGUAAAGAGCUCGUAGGCGGUUUGUCGCGUCUGCUGUGAAAACCCGAGGCUCAACCUCGGGCCUGCAGUGGGUACGGGCAGACUAGAGUGCGGUAGGGGAGAUUGGAAUUCCUGGUGUAGCGGUGGAAUGCGCAGAUAUCAGGAGGAACACCGGUGGCGAAGGCGGCAUCCUGGACUGGUCCUGACACUCAUGAGCGAAAGCGUGGGGAGCGAUCCGG
rnacentral:rRNA from 1 species